rnacentral:misc_RNA from 1 species
GCUUUUGAUAAAUAUUUAAAGUACCAUGCUUGUUUACAUCCGAAGCAGUAUGCGUUUUCUAAAAUGAAUUUCUCGUGCAUCUUUCUGCAGGUUUCAGGAGUUCAGGAUUGGUGCCAUUAAACUCUCUUUGCUGAUUCAUACAGGGGGAAAUAAUAAGGAAAAUAUGGGGCAAAAAUAUAAAAAGAGCCACAAUGAAAAUGCUCAUGGAUG